AGCAUGAGUUAGGCCACCUCAGAUAUCAAACAACCUUCAAGCCUGGACUACUGUGAUUUCAAGAAACAACAUCUCCUCAAAAACUGUUCAAGAAUGGCCGCGAUUGUCCUGUACGAGCACGCUGGGUAUGCUGGCAAGAGCCUUCCCCUGACCUCUGCAACCCCCGACCUCACUCUUCGCAGCUUUAACGACAAAGCUUCUUCUAUUGAGGUAAAGAGUGGUAUGUGGACUGUCUUCCAGCAUGUCAAUUACGAAGGAAAAAGGCUCACCCUAAGAAUGGGAAAGUACGACAUCGAGUAUAUUACCAAGAACCUGGGAAACGAUGUCAUCUCUUCAGCUAGACCUGCUGAAAUAAUCCUGUAUCAGAAUGCCCGGUUCCAAGGUAAAACCCUCAAGUUGACUGUUGACACUCAGAGCUUGGUUCCGGAGGGUUUUAACGACAUGGUCUCCUCUAUUGAGGUCACUUGGGGCGAUUGGACGGUGUACCAACACGUCGACUACAAAGGAAAGAGUCUUGACCUGAAGGCCGGAAGGUAUGACAUGGACUUCAUCACCAAGAAUAUGGGGAACGAUGUCAUCUCCUCUGUGAGACUGACACCAAGUGCUUGAAGAGAACACUAAUUACUGUAAAAACAAUGUAAUUAUGUAGUUAUAGUCUAGGCCGAACUAUUUUCUGCUGCUUACAUUGAUUUAUUUUGUAUACAAUGUAAUGUUAAAACGUAAUUGUGAGA